UGAGGAAUAUUGGUCAAUGGGCGGGAGCCUGAACCAGCCAAGUCGCGUGAGGGAAGACGGUCCUACGGAUUGUAAACCUCUUUUGCCGGGGAGCAACGGGGUCCUUGCGAGGGCCCAAUGAGAGUACCCGGAGAAAAAGCAUCGGCUAACUCCGUGCCAGCAGCCGCGGUAAUACGGAGGAUGCGAGCGUUAUCCGGAUUUAUUGGGUUUAAAGGGUGCGUAGGCGGGCUGUUAAGUCAGCGGUCAAAUGUCGGGGCUCAACCCCGGCCUGCCGUUGAAACUGGCGGCCUCGAGUGGGCGAGAAGUAUGCGGAAUGCGUGGUGUAGCGGUGAAAUGCAUAGAUAUCACGCAGAACUCCGAUUGCGAAGGCAGCAUACCGGCGCCCUACUGACGCUGAGGC
rnacentral:rRNA from 1 species